rnacentral:rRNA from 1 species
CCCUUAGAUGUUCUGGACCGCACACGCGCUACACUGGCAGGUUCAUCGAGCUUCAUGCCCUGAUCUGAGAAGAACGGGAAAUCUUUGAACACCUGCCGUGCUUGGGAUAGAUGUUUGCAAUUAUUCAUCUUCAACGAGGAUUGCCUUGUAAGCGCACGUCAUCAGCGUGCAUUGAAUACGACCCUGUAUUCUGUACACACCGCCCGUCGCUCCUACCGAUUGAAGUUUUCGGUGAAUUUACUGAAGAUCCCUUUUGAAGGUGGUUCGCCACUGGACGAAGUAUUCAAAAGUAAAUGAAUCGAAUGCUUUAGAGGAAGGAGAAGUCGUAACA